rnacentral:misc_RNA from 1 species
CAGAAUCUUCAUCACCGCUCCAUUUCCUCUUCAUGGUUCUAGGAACCAAUCGAGUUACUUCUUUAGAUUAUUACUAGUUCUAAUUAUGGAACUCUGGCUAACGAUUGGUGCUCGGACGGUGUGCCAUGGACGCUUCAAGCAUCCAAUGCUAUUUGUGUUCUUGCUAUCCAAGAGAGGGGCUGGUAACCUGAUUCAGGACCCAAUUGUUAAGACAGCUUGCUGAGGCUUUACAUGCAAA